GCCACUAACCACACCACCGCCGUGGGAACAACACAACCACUCCAGGUGAGGAGAGUGGUCAGGGUGAGGUGCACCACCACGGCUCCUGCUGCCUCACGGACCAGAGGAUAUCACACAACACUGCUGAACAACUGGGAGUGAGUAUCGGGGAGUCACAAGAUGGAGGCAAGGUUCGCAGCCCGUUUCCACUUGCGUCUUCCUCAACCUUUACCCAGACAAGUCACGGACUUCACCUGCAGCUACAGCAAACUCCAGUCUGUCCUGAUCAUCUGUGGUACUUCAACAGUCAGCUCAGAUGACGUUCA